UGGUCCUAACCUUAAAAUCAUCUUGUACUAAACUUACACAUGCAAGUUUCCGCAUUCCUGUGAAAACGCCCUAAACCCCCUAUUUGGGAUAAGGAGCUGGUAUCAGGCACAUAACAUAGCCCAAAACACCUAGCCAUGCCACAUCCACAAGGAAUUUCAGCAGUGAUUAAAAUUGUACAUAAGCGUCAGCUAGAUUCAGUUAAAGUACACAGAGCCGGCAAAACUGGUGCCAGCCGCCGCGGUUACACCAAGAGGCUCAAGUUGAUUUUUCUCGGCGUAAAGCGUGAUUAAAGUCUUCUUAUAAUUAAAGUUAAAUCCUCACUAAGCUGUGACACGCUUGUGUUAGAGAAAACCAAAAACGAAAGUUACUUUAAUUAAAUCAACUUGAAUUCACGACAGUUAAGUCACAAACUGGGAUUAGAUACCCCACUAUGCUUAACCGUAAACCUUUAAUUACACCCACUAACGCCCGAGAACUACGAGCGAAGCUUAAAACUCAAAGGACUUGACGGUACCCCACAUCCACCUAGAGGAGCCUGUCCUUUAAUCGAUAAUCCCCGCUUAACCUCACCAUUUUUAGUUUAUUCAGCCUGUAUACCUCCGUCGUCAGCUUACCACGUGAGCGUAAUCUAGUAAGCUUAAUGUCCUUAUAAAUCAACACGUCAGGUCAAGGUGCAGCAAAUAAAAUGUGGAAGAGAUGGGCUACACUUUCUAAUUUAGAAGACACGAAAAACUAUCUAUGAAACCUAGUUAGAAGGCGGAUUUAGCAGUAAAAAGAAACUAGAGAGUUCUUUUUAAUUAGGCACUGGGGUGUGUACACACCGCCCGUCACCCUCUUCAAAGCCCCCUUAUUAGUAAAUAACAAAUUCACGUACUUAAGAAGAGGUAAGUCGUAACAAGGUAAGUAUACCGGAAGGUGUGCUUGGAAA
rnacentral:ncRNA from 1 species